rnacentral:rRNA from 1 species
AUGGCGGAGUCGACGGCGAGCAUCGGCGGGUACAUGGCAUCGGGGUACCGGAGGCUGGCUGGCGUGCAGCUCUACAUCAACCACCUCAAGCCCGCCUGCCUCGACGACCGCAUCGAGGCCAAGGCGAACCCCAUCCGGUACCUCAACCCCGACGCGUACUUGGAAAAGGACCAGCUACUGGACGCGGUGCAUUGGAUCCGGCAGGCGGUGGGGCUUGCCUGCGACCUGCUCUGGGGCACCGCCCCCCUCGUCGGCGCCUUCUGGAUCGCCUUGUCAGUCCCUCCCUCCCUCCAUCCUCAAAUCCCCAACCUUCUUCUUUCCCUUGAGACAUAG